rnacentral:tRNA from 1 species
AGCAUACUAUAUGCUAGAUUUCUAACCUAGCCUAAACAUUAGUUAUAUGCUA